ensembl:snoRNA Snord17 small nucleolar RNA, C/D box 17
GUGACAUGAUGAUUCAGUUUAUCCAUUCGCUGAGUGUGCUGCAUUGACCUUCUUACCAGGCUUUAGUUCCUGUUCUAGGAACUUAGGUCUAUGUAGUUUCCAAAUGCCUUGCAGCCUACAGUGUUCUAUUGUGGGCUGCUUGUGUGUUGGGAUUCUACUGGGAGGAAUGGUUGGUGUCAGCAGGGAUGGGUCCCAUUGGGUCCUAUCUUACCAAGAUGAGUGGUGAAAAUCUGAUCAC